rnacentral:rRNA from 1 species
GUCUACGGCCAUACCACCCUGAACGCGCCCGAUCUCGUCUGAUCUCGGAAGCUAAGCAGGGUCGGGCCUGGUUAGUACUUGGAUGGGAGAAGAAAGUGAGAACAAAUUACACCAUUGACC